rnacentral:siRNA from 1 species
UGACUCGAACGAAUUAGAGGUA